CGGUUAAGUUAGAAAGGGCGCACGGUGGAUGCCUUGGCACUAGGAGCCGAUGAAGGACGGGACGAACACCGAUAUGCUUCGGGGAGCUGUAAGCAAGCUUUGAUCCGGAGAUUUCCGAAUGGGGAAACCCACCACUCGUAAUGGAGUGGUAUCCAUAUCUGAAUUCAUAGGAUAUGAGAAGGCAGACCCGGGGAACUGAAACAUCUAAGUACCCGGAGGAAGAGAAAGCAAAUGCGAUUCCCUGAGUAGCGGCGAGCGAAACGGGAUUAGCCCAAACCAAGAGGCUUGCCUCUUGGGGUUGUAGGACACUCUGUACGGAGUUACACUCGUAAUGGAGUGGUAUCCAUAUCUGAAUUCAUAGGAUAUGAGAAGGCAGACCCGGGGAACUGAAACAUCUAAGUACCCGGAGGAAGAGAAAGCAAAUGCGAUUCCCUGAGUAGCGGCGAGCGAAACGGGAUUAGCCCAAACCAAGAGGCUUGCCUCUUGGGGUUGUAGGACACUCUGUACGGAGUUACAAAAGAACGAGGUAGAUGAAGAGGUCUGGAAAGGCCCGCCAUAGGAGGUAACAGCCCUGUAGUCAAAACUUCGUUCUCUCCUGAGUGGAUCCUGAGUACGGCGGAACACGUGAAAUUCCGUCGGAAUCCGGGAGGACCAUCUCCCAAGGCUAAAUACUCCCUAGUGACCGAUAGUGAACCAGUACCGUGAGGGAAAGGUGAAAAGCACCCCGGAAGGGGAGUGAAAGAGAUCCUGAAACCGUGUGCCUACAAGUAGUCAGAGCCCGUUAACGGGUGAUGGCGUGCCUUUUGUAGAAUGAACCGGCGAGUUACGAUCCCGUGCAAGGUUAAGCAGAAGAUGCGGAGCCGCAGCGAAAGCGAGUCUGAAUAGGGCGCAUGAGUACGUGGUCGUAGACCCGAAACCAGGUGAUCUACCCAUGUCCAGGGUGAAGUUCAGGUAACACUGAAUGGAGGCCCGAACCCACGCACGUUGAAAAGUGCGGGGGAUGAGGUGUGGGUAGGGGUGAAAUGCCAAUCGAACCUGGAGAUAGCUGGUUCUCUCCGAAAUAGCUUUAGGGCUAGCCUCAAGGUAAGAGUCUUGGAGGUAGAGCACUGAUUGGACUAGGGGCCCCUACCGGGUUACCGAAUUCAGUCAAACUCCGAAUGCCAAUGACUUAUCCUUGGGAGUCAGACUGCGAGUGAUAAGAUCCGUAGUCGAAAGGGAAACAGCCCAGACCGCCAGCUAAGGUCCCAAAGUAUACGUUAAGUGGAAAAGGAUGUGGAGUUGCUUAGACAACCAGGAUGUUGGCUUAGAAGCAGCCACCAUUUAAAGAGUGCGUAAUAGCUCACUGGUCGAGUGACUCUGCGCCGAAAAUGUACCGGGGCUAAACGUAUCACCGAAGCUGCGGACUGUUCUUCGAACAGUGGUAGGAGAGCGUUCUAAGGGCUGUGAAGCCAGACCGGAAGGACUGGUGGAGCGCUUAGAAGUGAGAAUGCCGGUAUGAGUAGCGAAAGAGGGGUGAGAAUCCCCUCCACCGAAUGCCUAAGGUUUCCUGAGGAAGGCUCGUCCGCUCAGGGUUAGUCGGGACCUAAGCCGAGGCCGAAAGGCGUAGGCGAUGGACAACAGGUUGAUAUUCCUGUACCACCUCCUCACCAUUUGAGCAAUGGGGGGACGCAGGAGGAUAGGGUAAGCGCGGUAUUGGAUAUCCGCGUCCAAGCAGUUAGGCUGGGAAAUAGGCAAAUCCGUUUCCCAUAAGGCUGAGCUGUGAUGGCGAGCGAAAUAUAGUAGCGAAGUUCCUGAUUCCACACUGCCAAGAAAAGCCUCUAGCGAGGUGAGAGGUGCCCGUACCGCAAACCGACACAGGUAGGCGAGGAGAGAAUCCUAAGGUGAUCGAGAGAACUCUCGUUAAGGAACUCGGCAAAAUGACCCCGUAACUUCGGGAGAAGGGGUGCUCUGUUAGGGUGCAAGCCCGAGAGAGCCGCAGUGAAUAGGCCCAGGCGACUGUUUAGCAAAAACACAGGUCUCUGCGAAGCCGUAAGGCGAAGUAUAGGGGCUGACGCCUGCCCGGUGCUGGAAGGUUAAGAGGAGCGCUUAGCGUAAGCGAAGGUGCGAAUUGAAGCCCCAGUAAACGGCGGCCGUAACUAUAACGGUCCUAAGGUAGCGAAAUUCCUUGUCGGGUAAGUUCCGACCCGCACGAAAGGCGCAACGAUCUGGGCACUGUCUCAACGAGAGACUCGGUGAAAUUAUAGUACCUGUGAAGAUGCAGGUUACCCGCGACAGGACGGAAAGACCCCGUGGAGCUUUACUGCAGCCUGAUAUUGAAUGUUGGUACAGCUUGUACAGGAUAGGUAGGAGCCUUGGAAACCGGAGCGCCAGCUUCGGUGGAGGCAUCGGUGGGAUACUACCCUGGCUGUAUUGACCUUCUAACCCGCCGCCCUUAUCGGGCGGGGAGACAGUGUCAGGUGGGCAGUUUGACUGGGGCGGUCGCCUCCUAAAAGGUAACGGAGGCGCCCAAAGGUUCCCUCAGAAUGGUUGGAAAUCAUUCGCAGAGUGUAAAGGCACAAGGGAGCUUGACUGCGAGACCUACAAGUCGAGCAGGGACGAAAGUCGGGCUUAGUGAUCCGGUGGUUCCGCAUGGAAGGGCCAUCGCUCAACGGAUAAAAGCUACCCCGGGGAUAACAGGCUUAUCUCCCCCAAGAGUCCACAUCGACGGGGAGGUUUGGCACCUCGAUGUCGGCUCAUCGCAUCCUGGGGCUGUAGUCGGUCCCAAGGGUUGGGCUGUUCGCCCAUUAAAGCGGUACGCGAGCUGGGUUCAGAACGUCGUGAGACAGUUCGGUCCCUAUCCGUCGCGGGCGCAGGAAAUUUGAGAGGAGCUGUCCUUAGUACGAGAGGACCGGGAUGGACGCACCGCUGGUGUACCAGUUGUUCUGCCAAGGGCAUCGCUGGGUAGCUAUGUGCGGACGGGAUAAGUGCUGAAAGCAUCUAAGCAUGAAGCCCCCCUCAAGAUGAGAUUUCCCAUUCCGCAAGGAAGUAAGAUCCCUGAAAGAUGAUCAGGUUGAUAGGUCUGAGGUGGAAGUGUGGCGACACAUGGAGCUGACAGAUACUAAUCGGUCGAGGACUUAACCAUAUUU
rnacentral:rRNA from 1 species